GAUGAACGCUGGCGGCGUGCCUAAUACAUGCAAGUCGAGCGAACGGACGAGAAGCUUUCUUCUCUGAUGUUAGCGGCGUACGUGUGAGUAACACGUGGAUAACCUACCUAUAAGACUGGGAUAACUUCGGGAAACCGUAGCUAAUACCGGAUAAUAUUUUGAACCGCAUUGUUCAAAAGUGAAAGACGGUCUUGCUGUCACUUAUAGAUGGAUCCGCGCUGCAUUAGCUAGUUGGUAAGGUAACGGCUUACCAAGGCAACGAUGCAUAGCCGACCUGAGAGGGUGAUCGGCCACACUGGAACUGAGACGCGGUCCAGACUCCUACGGGAGGCAGCAGUAGGGAAUCUUCGGCAAUGGGCGAAAGCCUGACGGAGCAAAGCCGCGUGAGGGAUGAAGGUCUUCGGAUAGUAAAACUCUGUUAUUAGGGAAGAACAUAUGUGUAAGUAACUGUGCAGAUCUUGACGGUACCUAAUCAGAAAGCAACGGCUAACUACGUG
rnacentral:rRNA from 1 species